AGAGUUUGAUCCUGGCUCAGGAUGAACGCUAGCGGCAGGCUUAACACAAGCAAGUCGAGGGGUAACAUUGUAGCUUGCUACAGAUGACGACCGGCGCACGGGUGCGUAACGCGUGUAGAACCUACCUUUUACAGAGGGAUAGCCUUUAGAAAUGAAGAUUAAUACCCUAUAGUAUUGAGACUUGGCAUCGAGUUUUAAUUAAAGAUUUAUCGGUAAAAGAUGGCUAUGCGUCCUAUUAGUUAGUUGGUAAGGUAACGGCUUACCAAGACUUCGAUAGGUAGGGGCCCUGAGAGGGGGAUCCCCCACACUGGUACUGAGACACGGACCAGACUCCUACGGGAGGCAGCAGUGAGGAAUAUUGGGCAAUGGAGGCAACUCUGACCCAGCCAUGCCGCGUGCAGGAAGACUGCCCUAUGGGUUGUAAACUGCUUUUAUACAGGAAGAAACACUGCUACGUGUAGCAGCUUGACGGUACUGUAAGAAUAAGGACCGGCUAACUCCGUGCCAGCAGCCGCGGUAAUACGGAGGGUCCGAGCGUUAUCCGGAAUCAUUGGGUUUAAAGGGUCCGCAGGCGGUCAAUUAAGUCAGAGGUGAAAUACCAUAGCUCAACUAUGGAACUGCCUUUGAUACUGGUUGACUUGAGUCAUAUGGAAGUAGAUAGAAUGUGUAGUGUAGCGGUGAAACGCAUAGAUAUUACACAGAAUACCGAUUGCGAAGGCAGUCUACUACGUAUGUACUGACGCUGAGGGACGAAAGCGU
rnacentral:rRNA from 1 species